UGGUGGGGUUUAACAACGGCGUGUGUACGACGUGGUGAAUUACAAUGUGAUGAUUGUAGAUCGUAGUUCUUUCACUACAGCGCAGCUGUUGAAGUGACGACCCUGGGCCCCCGCGCACCCAUGGCCCCGUCGUGGUGGUCGGUCCCGCCUCAGAAACGGCGCUUUCGGUUCUAUUUAGAACCGACUACAUCGUCAAAGUUCCCCUACAGAUUGUGUGGAGCCAGAAGAAAGAAUCGUCUGCUGCUCUAGAUGCUUCACAGGCAAGUUCAGAUGAGCUUACUGAGGACAAUGUCGGGCUCGAAGAUGAACCAUAUCUGCAGGAUGAAUUUCCUAUAACAGUCAGCAAGGUCCAUGGUAAUUCGGAAUGUAGUCAAGAGGUUCCUGAGGAUGUUGAAGUCGACAACCCAGAUGCUGACCUCUCUGAUUGUGUGGCAAGAAAUUCAGCAGUAAUGCUUCCUGGCCUCUCUCAUCCCAUGUCUUGAUGACAUUCUGCCAUCAAGAUACAUCAGGCAUUUCAUGCCGCUUUCUAAAAGCCUCUUCAUGCUGCUCAAGGAAACUGUCGAGGAGUCUGAGGCAUUUAUUGCUCAGAGAUUGUUAAAGAGGUUUGUUCAAGAGGUUUGUUCAAGAGGUUUCCAUACUGUAUGGUGCAGCCGCUCAGACCAUAUUACUGUUAUGCCAGGAAAUUAUCUGUCAGCAGUAUUUUUUACUCUUCAUGUACAGUAUCGAGCAUCCACCAGCACAUGUAGGGCAGUGUUUGCUGCAUGAAAGCAGCAUGGCUUCACCGUGUGUUCUUGUAAAUCGAGGGGGAACAUUCAUUGUAGCAAAAAUGCCGAAUCUUUUCGAAGGUGACUAAAAGAUGUGUGCCCUAUUCUUCUAGUGUACGAGACGUGUUUCUCCAAAAGUUCAUAUGGUGCACCUUGUCCAACAGUUGAUAUGAUAGGUUAGAAUGUACAGUUUUCCUUUUCUUUCUUUCAUCGGUGAGCAUGUGAUAGUAAGGCAGAGAAUAUUGCAGAAAUAUUUGUCGUUUAACCUUGAUCUGACACCCGAAUGUAACUACUCUGAUUGACGAUAUAGACUCAUACAGGAUUUUUAAAAGGAAGAUUCAGUCACACUUACUAUCUACCAUAGGCGUGCGCAGGGUUCCCCUUCAGGGGGGUGAAGGUUCGUCGCAGCACCCCCCUCCCAAUUAUGUCAAUGUAUGGCGCUGACAUUGCCCCCCCCCCCGAUUGGCAGCGCCCCCCUGCCUAUUAUGUCAAUGUAUGGGGCUGACUUUGCACCCCCCCCUCUUAGGUGAAUAGGGGGGGCAGCCUGCCCUCCUGUGCGCACACUUAUGCUAUCUACAUAAACAUAUUCACCAUCAUCAUAAUCAUUGUUUUGUAUUCUCUAAAGUAUUUGUUUUCUUUGUUUUUUUAAUUUCUGAAACCUUAUGCAUUGAAAUAUUACAUUUCGUCAUGUAAUGUCACAUUCAUGUUUGUUUAUUUUCUCAAACUUUGUUUCAUUUGUUGGUCACAUAUAUGCCUUACUGAUGUCAUUGCCUGGGCCAACUCACUCAUCUAUUUGUUUUCUUAUACACAUGUGACCUGCACGUAGCAACUAAUUUAUGCUUAUUUCAUUAUUGACUGUUAAUUUUUUACACUGAGCAUUUAGUCAUUUUGGUGGGAUUUUAGGCUUUCAGUGGGCAGGCGCCUUGUCAGGCUUUUAUAGCUUUUCGACGGUCCCCUAGGCAAAUUGUACCUUUGUUUUGCUUUUUUCCCGAAAUAAACCUCAACUUCACCUUGCUUGUCUAACCGCCUUGUCGUAUGACAUUUGUAGUAUUGGCAUUUUGCAGGAAAAAUAUGCAUAUGCAGAAAACAAACUACAGUUGCAACCGUUCCUUAACAACAAACAUGUGAAACAUUCUUUUGAUGCUAUUUGCUGAUGCUAUUUCUGCCUAGCUGUCAGUGAACUUAUAUUUCUGUGCUUGGUUGCCACAUUGAGAAGUGAUAUGUCCGAUACUGGCAGCUGGCUUGUUGCGCCCUUCCUUCUUUGGGGUCUACCCUUUUAAGGACAGAGGCCAUAAGAACAAUAUCUCAUAUUUUUAGUGGGUUUACAAGCUGGUUUUUGGCUUUCCAUUUCAAAUGUGCUUUUCAUUUCCAAUGUUCCUAUGCGAGUACAGCAUAAUUUCAAAAUUUUAUAGCAGAUAUAAUCAAGCACUUUAUGGCACAACGUUCUGGGAUUGCUGAAAUUUUCAAACGUAUAGCCCUGUUACUUUGAUUAUUUUGCAUUCUUUUUUUAUUGGACAUUGAUGUACAUGCAUGUAUGCCUACUGCAGUUCACCAUGUCUAUAUAGUGCAGUUAGAAGUACAAAAACUUGUUCUGUGCUGAUGUGUUGAAUAAAUGCAAAUGUGACAUCGC
rnacentral:lncRNA from 1 species